CACGUAGGGCGCAAGCGUUGUCCGGAAUUAUUGGGCGUAAAGAGCUCGUAGGCGGUUUGUCGCGUCUGCUGUGAAAACCCGAGGCUCAACCUCGCGCCUGCAGUGGGUACGGGCAGACUGGAGUGCGGUAGGGGAGAUUGGAAUUCCUGGUGUAGCGGUGGAAUGCGCAGAUAUCAGGAGGAACACCGAUGGCGAAGGCAGAUCUCUGGGCCGUAACUGACGCUGAGGAGCGAAAGCGUGGGGAGCGAACAGG
rnacentral:rRNA from 1 species